AAAGAAAGCAAUAUGUCUCCAUUAAUUAAACAAUAGCAUAUCUCAAGGCACUAAAUUACAGUAGCAAGAUUAAUAGAUCAAAGACUAUAACUUCGUACUAACCAAAACCAAGUCAAGAACAUAACUACUUAAUCUAACAACUUUUGAGAAAUAUAAGAGUAGUUGUCACAUGCAUACGUAUCCCCUAAUUAAGAAGUGCAGAAAUCGCAGCAGCACAAGUCCUCCAAAAAGCUAGCCAUGCAAUCGUAUAAGCAAGAACAACUGCAGCAAAUUAAAUGGAUUCCUCAAAAGAUAAAAGUAAUGAUCAAAUGGUUCCAAUUAACUAGCAAGAAUAGAACAAAUAUAAUGAAGUGAGAAGAGGGAUACCCUUCAUUGAUAAAUUUGUCCAGUUCAUCCUCUAUUGGGGGAGAAUUUCUGGUGGAAGUGUCUAUGGCCUGUAUCUGCGGUGGAUCCAUUCCCCCUCUCUAUUAGUCUGAAUUUCUCAGUGUCUCAAACUCUGCUCUAUUUUGUGUGUGUGUGUGUGUGUGUUCGAAUGCUAUUUGAACUUUUUGGUAAAUUGGUGCAAGGAUUGGAUGGUUAGAUGAUUUAAAAGGAAAGAAGAUCAAACUCUUGCCAAAUUUCC
rnacentral:lncRNA from 1 species